AGCUAGGUGGCGUUUAGUUAGCAUUUUUAUUUUGUGACGUGCGUGUUGAAGUUUUUUUUUGUCCACACUUUGCCGGUAUUUUUUGACUCAAUCAAUUUUAAAUUUAUAAUGAAUCGGUAGAGAAAAUUUUUAUAAACAAUUUGAUAUAUAAUUUAUUGCUGUGGGUUAAUUAUUUUUUCUCAAAAAUCAUUGACAAUGUAAAAGUGUCAAAAGAGGUUAGGUUGCCGGACAAAAAACCAACAAUGUUAAAAACAUACUGUGCCAACGAGUUUAUUAUAAAAAGUGAAAUGGCAAUAGCCUUUGUGAAUUAUCAACAUGCCAGAGUUAAAUUCAAGGAUAAUGAUCUUGAAUAAUCCCAGGAUGAUCAAAGAACCAUAAUUUGACUUAUUGUCAAGAAAGUUUCAAUGAGCUUUUGGCUACAUUAGCAUCUGCUAAUGAUUCAUCAAACAUAUCUGUUGCGAUUUGAGAGCUGUUACUAACUGCUGAUCAUCUGAACAAGAUCAUAUGGAUUCAUCAGUCAAGAAUUUUCAUCUUCAAAUGCAGAAAGGAUGAUUGACAAAUUACAAUGGGACAAGCCGAGACAGAAUCAAUCUAAUAUUUCCAUCAUCAACUGCAAUAAUGAUGAUUGACAAAUUACAAUGGGACAAGCCGAGACAGAAUCAAUCUAAUAUUUCCAUCAUCAACUGCAAUAAUGGUAUUCCAUUGUCGCCACUAAAGAAUGAUUUGCUCGAAGGGUUGACCAAUAGUUUGUUGCUCUCAACAACUAAUUUACCAGAUGACCCACAUCAUAGACAACCAGCUUGUUUCGGUACUCUAUCAACAUUUAAAAAGGUAAUCAAUUUAAAUUGUUGCUCAAACAAUUUUAUCACGGCAUCUACAUGUUGCCCGACAAAAUUGACGUCUUUCAUGGCCUUGUUGAGUAUCACUUUGACACAACCAG